rnacentral:rRNA from 1 species
CUAAACGACUCUCGGCAACGGAUAUCUCGGCUCUCGCAUCGAUGAAGAACGUAGCGAAAUGCGAUACUUGGUGUGAAUUGCAGAAUCCCGUGAACCAUCGAGUCUUUGAACGCAAGUUGCGCCCGAAGCCUCUCGGCUGAGGGCACGUCUGCCUGGGCGUCACGCA